AAAUUGAAGAGUUUGAUCAUGGCUCAGAUUGAACGCUGGCGGCAGGCCUAACACAUGCAAGUCGAACGGUAACAGGAAACAGCUUGCUGUUUGCUGACGAGUGGCGGACGGGUGAGUAAUGUCUGGGAAACUGCCUGAUGGAGGGGGAUAACUACUGGAAACGGUAGCUAAUACCGCAUAACGUCGCAAGACCAAAGAGGGGGACCUUCGGGCCUCUUGCCAUCGGAUGUGCCCAGAUGGGAUUAGCUAGUAGGUGGGGUAAAGGCUCACCUAGGCGACGAUCCCUAGCUGGUCUGAGAGGAUGACCAGCCACACUGGAACUGAGACACGGUCCAGACUCCUACGGGAGGCAGCAGUGGGGAAUAUUGCACAAUGGGCGCAAGCCUGAUGCAGCCAUGCCGCGUGUAUGAAGAAGGCCUUCGGGUUGUAAAGUACUUUCAGCGGGGAGGAAGGGAGUAAAGUUAAUACCUUUGCUCAUUGACGUUACCCGCAGAAGAAGCACCGGCUAACUCCGUGCCAGCAGCCGCGGUAAUACGGAGGGUGCAAGCGUUAAUCGGAAUUACUGGGCGUAAAGCGCACGCAGGCGGUUUGUUAAGUCAGAUGUGAAAUCCCCGGGCUCAACCUGGGAACUGCAUCUGAUACUGGCAAGCUUGAGUCUCGUAGAGGGGGGUAGAAUUCCAGGUGUAGCGGUGAAAUGCGUAGAGAUCUGGAGGAAUACCGGUGGCGAAGGCGGCCCCCUGGACGAAGACUGACGCUCAGGUGCGAAAGCGUGGGGAGCAAACAGGAUUAGAUACCCUGGUAGUCCACGCCGUAAACGAUGUCGACUUGGAGGUUGUGCCCUUGAGGCGUGGCUUCCGGAGCUAACGCGUUAAGUCGACCGCCUGGGGAGUACGGCCGCAAGGUUAAAACUCAAAUGAAUUGACGGGGGCCCGCACAAGCGGUGGAGCAUGUGGUUUAAUUCGAUGCAACGCGAAGAACCUUACCUGGUCUUGACAUCCACGGAAGUUUUCAGAGAUGAGAAUGUGCCUUCGGGAACCGUGAGACAGGUGCUGCAUGGCUGUCGUCAGCUCGUGUUGUGAAAUGUUGGGUUAAGUCCCGCAACGAGCGCAACCCUUAUCCUUUGUUGCCAGCGGUCCGGCCGGGAACUCAAAGGAGACUGCCAGUGAUAAACUGGAGGAAGGUGGGGAUGACGUCAAGUCAUCAUGGCCCUUACGACCAGGGCUACACACGUGCUACAAUGGCGCAUACAAAGAGAAGCGAUCUCGCGAGAGCAAGCGGACCUCAUAAAGUGCGUCGUAGUCCGGAUUGGAGUCUGCAACUCGACUCCAUGAAGUCGGAAUCGCUAGUAAUCGUGGAUCAGAAUGCCACGGUGAAUACGUUCCCGGGCCUUGUACACACCGCCCGUCACACCAUGGGAGUGGGUUGCAAAAGAAGUAGGUAGCUUAACCUUCGGGAGGGCGCUUACCACUUUGUGAUUCAUGACUGGGGUGAAGUCGUAACAAGGUAACCGUAGGGGAACCUGCGGUUGGAUCACCUCCUUACCUUAAAGAAGC
rnacentral:rRNA from 1 species